GCUGUGGUGGCCGAGUGGUUAAGGCGUUUGACUAGAAAUCAAAUGGGAUCUUCCCGCGUAGGUUCAAAUCCUACUCACAGCG
rnacentral:tRNA from 1 species